CGUGUAGGCGGGUAGACAAGUCAGAUGUGAAAUACCGGGGCUCAACUCCGGGGCUGCAUUUGAAACUGUAUAUCUUGAGUGUCGGAGAGGAAAGCGGAAUUCCUAGUGUAGCGGUGAAAUGCGUAGAUAUUAGGAGGAACACCAGUGGCGAAGGCGGCUUUCUGGACGAUAACUGACGCUGAGGCGCGAAAGCGUGGGGAGCAAACA
rnacentral:rRNA from 1 species